rnacentral:rRNA from 1 species
GACGAACGCUGGCGGCGUGCCUAACACAUGCAAGUCGAGCGGGGAGAGAUUUUCGGAUUUCUCUUUAGCGGCGGACGGGUGAGUAACACGUGGGUAACCUGCCUCAAAGAGGGGGAUAGCCUUCCGAAAGGAAGAUUAAUACCGCAUAAUAUCAGGAAGCUGCAUGGCAUUCUGAUUAAAGGAGCAAUCCGCUUUGAGAUGGACCGGCGGUGCAUUAGCUAGUUGGUGAGGUAACGGCCCACCAAGGCGACGAUGCGUAGCCGACCUGAGAGGGGGAUCGGCCACAUUGGAACUGAGACACGGUCCAGACUCCUACGGGAGGAAGUAGUGGGGAAUAUUGCACAAUGGGGGAAACCCUGAUGCAGCAACGCCGCGUGAGUGAUGAAGGCCUUCGGGUCGUAAAGCUCUUUGAUCAGGGACGAUAAUGACGGUACCUGAAAAACAAGCCACGGCUAACUACGUGCCAGCCGCCGCGGUAAAAC